CAGUCGCCGCGGUAAUACGAAGGGUGCAAGCGUUAAUCGGAAUUACUGGGCGUAAAGCGUGCGUAGGCGGUUUGUUAAGUCUGCUGUGAAAUCCACGGGCUCAACCUGGGAAUGGCAGUGGAUACUGGCUCGCUAGAGUGUGUCAGAGGAUGGUGGAAUUCCCGGUGUAGCGGUGAAAUGCGUAGAGAUCGGGAGGAACAUCAGUGGCGAAGGCGGCCAUCUGGGACAACACUGACGCUGAGGCACGAAAGCGUGGGGAGCAAACAGGAUUAGAUACCCCAGUAGUCCCUGUCUCUUAUAC
rnacentral:rRNA from 1 species